AGUAGGCGUUUGUUUUUCAGCGAUUAUCAUGGAGAUGGACCAACAUAUCACGAAAGUUAAAUUAUGUUGUGGGAUGAGAGACGUAAUUUACUGUUUGACUGUUCAGUAUUGCAUAGUAACAGUGAAUAUGCACAACGAUUAUUUUGAAAAAAAAAAAAAACAUGAUUUUAGAGAGAUUUUAACAGUGCACCACCACUAUAGCAAAUACUAAAAACUUCACUGACAGCAGCUGGUUGGCAUCCUCAAGGCCCAAUAAACAAAUUUAUACUGUGUUUGCUGUUGAUGAUGAUGUUUAAAAGGUUAAGAAAGUUAGAAAUUACGAAUCGCAUUUUUUUAAUAGUUGCGCUUCGGUAACGUUUCAAAACAAUUCGAGCUGGAUAUGGAAUCCACAUGGGAGAAAGAGGCAGUCACACUGUGCAGCAUAAUAGACAGCAAAGAAGAACCAAUAUUAACCUACCAGCAUCCAGAAACUGAACAGAUCUGCAUUAAAGAAGAAAUUGUUGUGUGACAAAAAGAUCCUGUGACAGGCUGAAAACCUGUUAUGAAAACAUGAAAAGAAGACUUCAGAAAGAUCUUGUCGAAGAAGAGGUGGAAGUGUAUAAAACAAGUUGGGGGGGAGCCUACCCAAAAAACCAACAAAUGCAUACGAUUCUGAUGCACAGUUUAGUAUGACUGUGGAUGUUGUUAACAUAGAGUGCAGUGCUGUGCAGUGAGGACACACCAUCUGCUUCAGUGGUUGAGUUAGCAAAGUGCACACAACCUAGCACUUCCCACACACCUGACAUAAUACAAAGUAAAGAGACAUCAAAGAAUGUUCUGGUGGCUGUCACCCAGCUGCAGACUGUUUUGCAGUCUCCUGAUCCACCCAAUGAAAACAUUUUCACACCGAAAAAUACAUGGCAUCGUCGCAGGACGCCUACAAAACCGAGGCCUUCAGGUUCGAGAACAGUAAUUGAAAGUGUGUGCAAGAAGAGAGUGGAACUACUGGAGGUCCAAUUACGCAUAAUGAAGGCUGAACAUAAGAAGGAGCUGAGGAUUAAAAAUUUAAAGAUUCUGGCGCUAAAAAAAAAAGAAACUAAAUUACUGGAAGAAGAAAAAUGCCAGUAACAUGAUUUUUUUUUCCUAUGACAGUGAAUUUUUGUAAUUUUUUCUGCUGUUUUGUAUUCUAGCUAAUGUCUCACAGGUGAAACUGUUUCUCUGUGUUUGUCCCAUUAGUGAUGACUGCUACUAUCCUAACUGUUGUCUGCUUAUAGCUUACUUGGUGUGGACAAAGUUUCAUCUAAUCACUUGAAAUUAGAAUUACUUCAUAAAUAAAAACAGGUUAGCGACA